GACGAACCGUGCGAACGUUAUUCGGAAUCACUGGGCGUAAAGGGCGCGUAGGCGGCGUGUUAAGUCAGCUGUGAAAUCUCCAAGCUUAACUUGGAACGGUCAGCUGAUACUGAUGUGCUAGAGUGCAGAAGGGGCAAUCGGAAUUCUUGGUGUAGCGGUGAAAUGCGUAGAUAUCAAGAGGAACACCUGAGGUGAAGACGGGUUGCUGGGCUGACACUGACGCUCAUGCACGAAAGCGUGGGGAGCAAACAGG
rnacentral:rRNA from 1 species